GAUGAACGCUGGCGGCGUGCUUAACACAUGCAAGUCGAACGAGAAAUGUAGACGGAAACCUUCGGGCGGAAGCCUUCAUUUCGAGUGGCGGACGGGUGAGUAACGCGUGGGUAACCUGCCUCAUACAGGGGGAUAACAGUUGGAAACGACUGUUAACACCGCAUAAGACCACAGCAUCGCAUGAUGCGGGGGUAAAAACUCCGGUGGUAUGAGAUGGACCCGCGUUCGAUUAGCCAGUUGGCGGGGUAACGGCCCACCAAAGCGACGAUCGAUAGCCGAUCUGAGAGGAUGACCGGCCACAUUGGGACUGAGACACGGCCCAAACUCCUACGGGAGGCAGCAGUGGGGAAUAUUGCACAAUGGGGGAAACCCUGAUGCAGCGACGCCGCGUGAGUGAAGAAGUACUUCGGUAUGUAAAGCUCUAUCAGCAGGGAAGAAAAUGACGGUACCUGAGUAAGAAGCCCCGGCUAACUACGUG
rnacentral:rRNA from 1 species